rnacentral:lncRNA from 1 species
AAGAAAACAAAUAAAAAUCAAAACUUUAUGAUAGAAACAUCAAACCAAACACAAGAGAGUACAAGGUAAGGUUCUAAUCUAAAUACCCAGAUCGUCAAAAAAUGAAAACUAAAGACCAAGAUUAUUACAAAGGACCAUCAUCAUCAAGAACAUAAAAAAACAGAAACAAGAAGAGAAGCAAAGAGACAAAAGAGUGUUGUUACCUGAAAGAGUUUGCAGAUAAAAGAACACCCCAAAAGUAGUAUCUCUCGCUUGUUACCCAACAAAGUUAUAAUAUAAAGAUAAGGGAAGUCUUAAGUUCAAAAGAUGAAGAAGAAGAAGAAGAAGAAGAGUCAAUUAAAGAUCACAUGGGGGAGAAGAAAGGGACAUUAAUUACUGUAUGUGUGUUUUUUCUGGGUUUUGUAUUGUAGAGAGUUCGUAGAUGAAAGAGAGAGAGAUCAAGAUGCUUUGAUGGUGAUGAUGAUGGAGGAUUUAAAGAUUUUUUAUAUAAAAGUCGCACCGUUUCAUUUUUU